rnacentral:rRNA from 1 species
GACGAACGCUGGCGGCGUGCUUAACACAUGCAAGUCGAACGGAAAGGCCCUUCGGGGUACUCGAGUGGCGAACGGGUGAGUAACACGUGGGUGAUCUGCCCUGCACUUUGGGAUAAGCCUGGGAAACUGGGUCUAAUACCGAAUAGGACCACGCGCUUCAUGGUGUGUGGUGGAAAGCUUUUGCGGUGUGGGAUGGGCCCGCGGCCUAUCAGCUUGUUGGUGGGGUAAUGGCCUACCAAGGCGACGACGGGUAGCCGGCCUGAGAGGGUGACCGGCCACACUGGGACUGAGAUACGGCCCAGACUCCUACGGGAGGCAGCAGUGGUGAAUAUUGCACAAUGGGCGCAAGCCUGAUGCAGCGACGCCGCGUGAGGGAUGACGGCCUUCGGGUUGUAAACCUCUUUCACCAGGGACGAAGCGUAAGUGACGGUACCUGGAGAAGAAGCACCGGCCAACUACGU